AAGUCGUAACAAGGUUUCCGUAGGUGAACCUGCGGAAGGAUCAUUACAACGUAUCCACGUACCAAACUCGCGAACUGUUCCCAACAGAGUGAACACUUAUGGAUGAAGUUAAUGGUUGACUGCCUUUCGCUGAUGGAGAUCUCUUGAGACCUGGAAGGCUUUCAAUCGCCGGCAGAAAUGCUUUGCGUUUCUCUGGGACUUCGUUGACUCUGUUGAGGUUUACCAUCAGCGUUUUAUCAUUAUUAACCCUUUGAAAUCUGAACUGAACUUGAAAACUCAGCCGCCGUCCUCGUUGGCUCUGGUCACGGACGUUCACGGCUUUGAUUUUCUCAUUUACGAAACAAAGAACAACUCUUAGCAACGGAUAUCUUGGUUCUC
rnacentral:misc_RNA from 1 species